GAAGAAGAUUCCAGUUACUCUGCAAUGUGUGAAAUCAAGCUCAGUUAUAUCUUCAAACAUGCCCUGCCUUUGAGGCUCUAGAUUGUAUCUGCUGCUGGAAUCUGCUGGAGGGGAAACAGCAAAGUGAUCUCUAAGUUGGAGCAUAACUGGGGUCCCCAGGGCCUCACUGCUCUGUGCAAAGGACAGUGAACUUGGAAUCUAUCAAUCCUCCCCUAAUGGAUGUGGUCCUAAUCAGCAGUGAUUCCUGCAGAGGCUUUCACAGGCUCAGUACUCCAAAAGUACUGAAGAGUGGAAGUCAGAGAGUGCCUGCUGUAACUCUGUGCCCUUAUAGUCCUGGAAGAGAUGCUGUAAAGAAACCACUACUUCUUUUGAGGCUUCUUGCUGAGGGCCUUCCAAGAACACCAUGAUAAAGCAGAAGGAGAUGGUUCAGAGGAAUGAUCACUUAAAGAAGUCUGAGCCAAGGGACCUUGCUGACGAAUUACCAGACCCACAUGUCUCUGAGAUUGAAGAACAGAAACAUUUUGUCCCGGCCACUGACCACAAACCAGAGGAUAAUAAAAUGUAAUGUCUAUGGAGUUUGGCCUGAAAAUGAUUUCAGCUAUUUCAGGAACACAGUCUUGGACAAUUUGUUGACACUCUGGCAAAAGAAGGAUUAGUCUCAAAUCAGUAAGCGGUCCUCAGAAGGAGUUCAAGGAGUGGAGAGAGAACUUCUAAGAAGGGUAUUCAUGGAAGGCUUCAGGGAAGAGGCUGACAACAAGUUGUCCAUGAAGGGUUCAACUCAUGCAGCUGCGAAUAAGGAGGACAGUCUGGGUGGGGAAAAUAAGCAAAGGUAUGGAAGAAAGGCAGACGUGGAGAACGGACAUCACUAAUCCUUAGGUGAGUGUUCAUCUAAGUGUGUCGAUUUACACUGGGCUUCACAGAUCAAGGAAGCUGCUAUGUACUAUUUUCUGUUCUCUGAAUUGGCAACACUAUC
rnacentral:lncRNA from 12 species